rnacentral:rRNA from 1 species
GGACCUGACUGCUAUCGGAUUGAAACUAAGCCAUGCGAGUCAUUGUAGCAAUACAAGGCAUACGGCUCAGUAACGCGUAGUCAACCUAACCUAUGGACGGGAAUAACCUCGGGAAACUGAGAAUAAUGCCCGAUAGAACAUUAUACCUGGAAUGGUUUAUGUUCCAAAUGAUUUAUCGCCGUAGGAUGGGACUGCGGCCUAUCAGUUUGUUGGUGAGGUAAUGGCCCACCAAGACUAUUACAGGUACGGGCUCUGAGAGGAGUAGCCCGGAGAUGGGUACUGAGACACGGACCCAGGCCCUAUGGGGCGCAGCAGGCGAGAAAACUUUGCAAUGUGCGAAAGCACGACAAGGUUAAUCCGAGUGAUUUCUGCUAAAGAAAUCUUUUGUUAGUCCUAGAAACACUAACGAAUAAGGGGUGGGCAAGUUCUGGUGU